rnacentral:lncRNA from 1 species
AAAAUCAGCCUAUUUCUCAUUCAUGUGGCCGGCCAAAGAAGAACAAAGGAAGAAAAGAAAAAACAAGAACCCUAGGUGGAGAAUUUCAAGAGAAAAAGUGUGAAAAAUCAAGGAAAACAAGUGAAAAAGGUAGGAUUUCUUAAUUUAAACUUGAAAUCUAUUUUCCUUAAACAUUUCUCCUUAUUUUUCAUGGUUAAAUUUCAUGUUUUCAUGGUGAAUUCAUGGCUAGCCGAAUGGGUAUGGAGAGAGAAUGAUGUUGGAUUGAUUUGAUUUCAAGUUAUGUUAGUGUUUUUAGUUAGUUUACCAUGUCUAUAAGCAAAACAACAAGAAAAUAAUUCAUUUUCCCCAUCACCCAUCAAUGGCCGAAGCUACCUUGUAUUGAGGGAGGAUGAAUUUGAUUUUUUAUUUUAAGAGAAUUGGUUAGAAAAUGAUGAAUUAUGGUGUGAAAAAGUAGUAGGAAAAAUCACGAUGUUCAUGCACCAUUAUUGACCAAAAAUUCUAACAAGAAAAGUGAAGAUGGUUUUGCCAAAUUUUAGGUUAUUUGAAUUGUGUUUGGUGAAUUAAGGUAUUGGAAAAGAAAUGGAGCAAUUUGGAGCUAAAUUGAACGCGUUGACCAAUUAAUUGGGUGAUAAGACGAAUUAGGCCAAUACUUGGUUUAGAUGGUUACCUGUGUAUUUUGCAUUACAUAUCAUGCAUUAGUAGUCUAAAUUAGUUUAAUUUCGAUUUAGUACCAAUGUAGUAAGUUUCUCGAUUUUGUACUAUGUCAAGGUGGUGAGUCAUCCGAUAAAGGUAAGGAAAUUGCAUUCGAGGACCAUAGUUAGAAUACUUCAAAAAUCCGCACUCUAGACAUUGUGAGUAACCUUACUAUCGUCUUAAUUAUCUAGAGUGGUUUUUAUCCGAUUUUGUGAUUUUAUGGAAAAUGAGUUUAAAUGGUAAAUUUUUAGGUUUUAUAAACAAAAAAUGUGUUUAAAUAAAAUGAUUUUAUAAAUUAUCUUGAAAUUGAAUGAUGGCUUUGCAAAUAGAGUAAUUGGAGACCAUUUGAUGUAUUGUGAAUUAUAUGGUUCUAAUUGAUUGGCUUAUGACAAUAUUGGCAUGAAUUGUUGAAUUGGUAUUUGUGUUGAAAUGUAUAAACUGUUGUUUGCCUUGAUAAGCUGGAUAAUGAUAAAAUUGUCAUAUCAUGUUGUUGAAUUUUUAUUGUAUGGUGGGUUUAGCUUGCUGCAGUGGGCUGGUUCUGUGGACCAACUUAUUAGAGGGGCACAUAACCUGGUCAUAUAUAUGUACCUCGAUUGAAGAGGCGCGUAGGGUAACUCCUGAGGUCAAACUUUAGAGUUCACUUCAGGUCAAACCACCACGUGAGGGGGAACUCAGCCAACGCUAAGGAACGACUAUGUUUUCAAAAUAAAAACAUGAUUUAUGCGUACAUGACUUUUUAACAGCCUUGGCGGACUCGGUUGGGAUAGCCCUCGAUCAAGGCAUCCCUGAUAACUGGGUAUGAGAAUGAUUUUGACACGAGCCAAAGUUUUAAGAAAUUCAUAAGCCAUGUUGAUUACUCGAUUUAUAUGAAUUGAUUUUAUUUGGUUGAAACAAGUUGAAAGGUGAUGAAUUUCAGUAUGUUAAACUGUUUUAUUUGUGUCCAUUUACUCGGCUUUAGAUAUUUUAGAUGGUAUUUGUUUACUCACUGGGAUUAUAUAAUCUCACCACCUUUCUUUUCACCCUUUUCAGGCUCAGGAUAGUCGGCAGAUAGCUCACUUUGUUGAGGGCUACAAUUGGACUUGCAUCCUAAAAAACUGUAAGUUUACUGCUUUUAAUACUUUUGGUCGUUCGUGGGCCCAUUUGUUACUGUAAAUUAAAUUAAAUACUCCGGCUUACUGUAUUACAAUAUAUAUGAAUUUAUUUUGCUUUUACACUGGAAAAAUUAUUUAUACAGUGUUAUAAAAAUAUUAUUUUAUGAGAAAAUUGAAUAUUUUAUUUAAUAUUUUUAUUUUAUUCUAAUAGUCAUAAUUUCAUUUUAAACGAAUGUUUUAGACAUCCAAAUUUAUUUUUGAUUAUGAAAUAUGUGUUUUACACCCGUAUACUACAUUAUUAGCUAGUUUCAAAAUUUUCAAGAAAAAAUGACCAAAAUGCCCCUAUGAGAAAAAAAUUAUUUUUUUCUAUUGUUUUGAUUUGAAAAAUAUUUAUAAUGUCUCAAAACAUAAUUUUAGUGACUAAUACUCACAGGGGAAGCGAGAAAAACUGAUGUUAAGCCUUGCGAGGUUUCGAUUGAUAUUUCGAGUAAUGAAUGUCUAUCAGGACGUCGUGGCAGUUGUCAUGGGCUCGAUGGGAGUUCCGGAUCGUGACAUAUAUAAUCGCCCUCUUUGCUGAAAAUAGCGGCAGCAUCUCUAAAAAAUCCUAGAAAAACCCUAACAAUUAGAGAGAAAAACCUAGCCACAGCAAAACCAAAGAAAAAAUGAAGAAAUACCUUUGGAAAUCUAGCAGACAAAAUAAUAAUUAGAAAAAAAAACAAAAAAAUAAAAAAAGAGAGUGUUGGAAGAGUAAUAGAAAAAUGAAAAUAGGAAAAAGGGUAAGUUAGUUUUUUUUCGAUUUUCCUCUUUUCUUUUUGUUUGGAGAGUUUAGGGUUUCAUAAUUGGUUUUUUAAAGGGGGGUAGAUCAAAGGUUGAAAAGGGAAUGGUAAAUAGGAAAAGAGUUGAAAGGCUUGGGUUUCACUUUUUCGGUCAUCAGUGGAGAAAAAGAGAAGAAAGGUUGUAGUUUUUGAGGGUUUAGAGAGAAGUGGGAGGAACGACAUUUAGAGAAAAAAAUUGAGUGGAGAAAUGGGAAGAGAGGAAAGAAAAGAAGUUUAUAUCCUACUGUUAGGUAAGGAUAAAAUGGCUCCAUUUUGAAGAGAUUAGAUUUGUUCCAAACGACGUAGCUUUUAAGGUUGGAAUGGUGGUGGUUUAAGCACCAAAACGGUGCACUUUGGGAGCAAGAUCCGCAAGCCGUAGAGAAACGAGUCGAUUGAAGCGGGCUGGCUGUUUGGGUCAAUUUGGCCCAUAAAGGUAAACCAUUUACCAUUUUUCUCAUAUCUGUUGUGAUUUGGGCUGGUUCAUUUUGUUAGUCCUUAGGAUUAUUGUUUAAUUAUGUAGGAUUAGGAUUAGAUUAUUUUAGCAUAAUGUUCUAAAAAUUCUAAGAUAUUAUUUUUAGGUUUAGGAAAAAAAUACCAAAAGAAAAGUAUAAAACACACACACACACACACACACACACACACACACACACAUAUAUAUAUAUAUAUAUAUAUAUAUAUAUAUAUAAAUAAUAAUAAUAAUAAAAAUGUUUAGGUAUGAAAUGAAUUUAAAUGUAGGAGAAUAUUUACUUAAGGGUAUUUAAACUUAGAUAAAUGAAGCAUAUAUGCAAAACAAAAAAUAAAUUGCUUAAUGAAAUAUUUUUCAAGAUAGAUAGAUAGAUAAAUAAAAAUAUAUAAAAAUAUAAAUGAAUGAAGCAAAUAGGUGAUUGGUUAAAAAAUAUAUAUACAGAUUAAAUUAAGUAAAAAAAUUAGAAAUUAUUGAGUUGUUGGUGGGGUAUACUUGGGUGAAAAUAUAUAAAGGAAUAUGUAGAAUAUGUAUAUACAUUGGAUUAUAAAAAUAUGUUUAGUGAAUGAGCAUAAAAAAAAAGGAAGAAAGAAAUACUUAAUAUUUAAUAUUAAAAGAUAGUAAAGUUAGUCAAAUAAUUAUAAUAACAUAUGCAUUAGAAUCAACCUUAGAAAAUUGAAUCCUAAGACACCAUAAAAUUAAUUAUAAGAAUAAUGUAUAAAUUGUACCGAUGAUGGUAUGUUCAUCCGAAACGCGAGGAGUUGCAAUUCUGGAUGAAUUUUUCCUAAGCCUAAGAUCCAAAUUAAGACUCCAUUAGUACGAUGGGAGUGUCUCAAUUUUAAAAUUAUGAGAUUUCUAAGUUUAAAUAAACUAAAAUUAUUAUAUAAUAAUUUAGUCAAAAUAUAAAUACAAAUAUAAUAAAUAGAAAAGAAUAGAUGACAUUUACUCAUUUAAGUUGUCAAAAGAUAAAUAUAAAAUUGUAAAAAUAAUAAUACUCAUGACAAUAAAUAAAUAGAUAAAUAAGUGAAAUAUUCAAUGAUGGGAAAUUCAUAAUAAUGAAUAUGUUUAAAGUAUAAAAGUUAAAUAUUUAGUUAUGUAAAAUAUAUAUAGUGAUAAAUUUAUAAGUGUUAUAAAAAGGGAAUAGGAUAGAUAAUAAAAAGAGAAAAAAAUGGAAUAUAAAUAUAUAUNAAUCAUAUAUAUAAUAUAUAUAUAUAUAUAUAUAUAUAUAUAUAAUUAUGAAAUAAGAUAUCUUGCUUAAAGGCUAUAGAGUUUGAGUAAAAUGAAAAUUUAUAUAGUAAAAUAGAUAUAUUCUAAAUAACAUAGAAAAAUAUAUGAUUCAUAAUAUAUAUAUUUAUAACAAGAAACGAUAAAAAAGGAAAACCUUAAAGAAAUAGCAAAGAAGAUAUAGAAGGACUUAGAAACAAAAUAAUAGAUUUCAUAAGCAUAUUACACAUCACUAUUGCAUCGUAAAUGUCAUGGCAUGUAAAUAUUUAUGUAAAUGAGUAUAAGUCCAGAUGAUGAGAGUUUCCUAAGGAUCUUGCGAAGGUGAGUUUCUGUCAAAAAAUUCUCUAGAUGAAAGGAUAUGCUCGGGUCCCACCAGUACGAUGGGAGGGUUCGUGAAAUAUCUUUAAUAAAAAGGCUUUUACUCGUAAAAGGUU